CAUUUCCCACCUGGCUCCUUGCGCUAGACAGAAGCCUUUGUUGGGGGUGAGGGCCAGAGCGGAAGGAACUGGUUUCACCAGAGACUUUGUGAGACUCUGGGCUUAUCUCACACUGCUCUGACAGGCCGGGGAUUGGUGACCAAGACAGCACCCAGGGACAGCAUCUGUGACAAGGCCAAUCAGCAGGGGCAAUGGAAUUUCGGAGGGCCUGGCUGAGUGGUUUACCUGUUUUACGUGAUGCGUCUGGGACAGCUGGACGACUCACUUCCAGUAGGGCUUUUCACUCACAUCUGGCCUGCUCCAUGCUCCUUGGGCUCUCUCUCCCCAUGUCGUGUCUCAUCUUUCAGGGUCUGCGCAUGUAGCUUGACCUUCUUACAGCCUGGUGGUCUCAGGGUAGCUGCAUUUCUUACAUGGCGGCUGGCUUCCAAGAGGCAAGAAGUGGAAGAAGCCAGGCCAAUCCAGGGCUACGCCAAGAACGGGCAGUGGAUCAUUUCUACCACAGGAUAGUGAUCAAAGCAGGCUGGAGUCCUUCUCGGCUGAAGGAGUGGAGAAGUAGACUCCACUACUGCUGGGGGAAUGGCAAGUUCACACUGCAGAAGAGCACGUGGAGCGGGAGACACUGAUUUGAUACAGCCAUCUCUGAAAAACCCAGCUUCAUGUCACACGGCACAUGUAAAUCCAAUCGUCUUGCAUCCCAGACUCCUUGGAGCAUAUCACCAGCAGUGGUAGAAAUGACAACUGUGAUGCCUCCCUUCAUCUUCUUAAGGCUACGAGGAACAGUGGCAUAAACAUGAAGUUCAUGAUGUGUCACCGCUAGAAGAGGUUCCUAAGUAAUAACUUGUGGAAAGCUUGCAAUUCUUAUUGAAUUUCCUGGUAAACUAAUUAUGUUGAGUCCAUGAAAUGUCAAGUUAUACAUAAUAUAUUUUUAAGUUCUUAAACUAAUGGAUUGACUUUAGAGACAAUGUAGGGUAUGGUUAGGAGUGUGGGCUGUGGAGUCAAAUGAAACUGGGUUCUCAUCUGGUUCUGCCACGUAUUAACUGUGUGACCUUAGCGAAAGAUUCUUAACCUCUCCCAGCCUCAGUAGUACUUACAGUUUAAGGUUGGUAUCAGGUGUUGCCAUUAAUCAUUGCAGCAACCACCCUAAAACAGUGACUUAGAACAGCAGUUUUAUUUCUUAUAAUUCUGCAGGUCAGCAAUUCAGGAAGGGUGGUUCUUCUGCCUCAUAUGGCAUCAGCUGGGGCCACUCUCACAGCUGCCUUUAGCUUGCCAUUUGGCUCAGCUGGGAGGUGCAAGAAGGCGUCACUCAGAGGUCAGCUGCCUCCGAGCUCCUCCCGGGGGGGGGGGGGGGGGGGGCCUCUCUCUCCACGUGCUCUCUCAUUACUCAGCAAUCCAGCCCGAGCUGCUUACCGUGUGCCUCGUGGCUUCCUCAGAGCGAAAGUGGAAGCUACUGGGUCUCUGAAGAGCUAGACCCAGGACUGACACAGUGUCAUUUCCACCUCAGUCUAUUGGUCAAAGCAAGUCACAUGGCCAGACCAGGUGCCGGAGGAGGGGAAAUGGACCCCACCUCUUGGUAGGAGGAGUGGCAUGUUCACACAGGGAAGAGGGGACUUGGUGGCAGCCAUCUUUGAAGACUAUCUACCACACCAGGGCCAAAUGAGAUAAUUUAUGUAAAAUGCAUAGCAGUGUCUGGCAUUUAAGAAAUGUUUGCUAAUAAUAAUAAUUUUUAAAUGUGUAAUAAAAAUUUCAUUUUCUCAAAAUGUUUGACUUCUCACUUAAGAAAAUCACGACAGAAUGGGCUGUUUUGUAUCUCAAAAAAUAAUGCAAACAUGACAUUAUCAGAAGUGAUUCAAUUAAC
ensembl:lncRNA